rnacentral:rRNA from 1 species
UAGGGAAUCUUCCACAAUGGACGAAAGUCUGAUGGAGCAACGCCGCGUGAGUGAGGAAGGUUUUCGGAUCGUAAAGCUCUGUUGUUGGUGAAGAAGGAUAGAGGCAGUAACUGGUCUUUAUUUGACGGUAAUCAACCAGAAAGUCACGGCUAACUACGUGCCAA